rnacentral:rRNA from 1 species
UACAUGUGGGGCAAGCGUUGUUCGGAAUUACUGGGCGUACAGGGAGCGUAGGCGGUUGGAUAAGCCCUCCGUGAAAUCUCCAGGCUUAACCUGGAAAGUGCAGAGGGGACUGUUCAGCUAGAGGAUGGGAGAGGAGCGCGGAAUUCCCGGUGUAGCGGUGAAAUGCGUAGAGAUCGGGAGGAACACCGGUGGCGAAGGCGGCGUUCUGGACUGCGUACUGACACUGAGGAACGAAAGCCAGGGAGCAAACGGG